GCGGUUUGAAGGGUGUCUAACUUCAAAUCAACCAGAGUUCGACUCUUACCAUUGUCAUGUCUCCAUAUAUUUGACAUUUAUCAAGCGGGUUAGCCUAUUGGGCUAAUCAUGAGUUUAACCCAACAAUUCCGACUCUGAAAUGGUUCGGCGGUCUAAAGAUCGGGUCCGCAAAUGCGGGUUGGCGGUCCAAAGGUCGGGUCGACAGAUGCGGGUCGCGGUAGUCCAAAGGUCGGUUGGCGGGUGCGGUCGAAAAUAAGUCAUGUAAUGGCAACAAUAAAUAUGUUGCAACGAAAUACAAUUUUGUUCUUAAUGAUUAAUGUAUUGGCAACGAUUUAUGUGUUGCAACGACAUAAAUUCGUGGUUAUUAAUAAAUGUAUUGGCAACGAUAGAUUUGUGGCAACAAAAUAAAUUCGUUGGUAGUAAUCAAAGAAUUUGCAACGAUAAAUGUAUGGCAACAAAAUAGACUUGUUGUUAUUACUUAAUGCAUUGGCAACGAUCAAUAUGUAGCAACG
rnacentral:lncRNA from 1 species